rnacentral:rRNA from 1 species
AUUUUUUGGAGAGUUUGAUCCUGGCUCAGGACGAACGCUGGCGGCGUGCUUAACACAUGCAAGUCGAGCGGAAAGGCCCUUCGGGGUACUCGAGCGGCGAACGGGUGAGUAACACGUGAGCAACCUGCCCCCGACUCUGGGAUAAGCCCGGGAAACUGGGUCUAAUACCGGAUAUGACCACCGUCCGCAUGGGCUGGUGGUGGAAAGUUUUUCGGUUGGGGAU